rnacentral:misc_RNA from 1 species
GCGCCAGUUCGUCCACCUGUUUCUGCAAGUGAUUUACUCUUCGCCGGGAGCGCCGCACCCCUCGCUCCACCUUGCUAGAGGCUGCAGCGGCACUCUCUGCCCUCUGUCCCUGUAGCUGUGGACGGAGGUGAGGGAGGAAGAGAACAAGAGCGAAGCAAUCUCACACAUGGUUCACGGUUUCGAAUCCUGUUUUUGAGUACCGUCACAGGGGCAGUCUUUCCCGGUGGUAGUCACUCACCAACUACCAAACUGGACAGGAGUGAGUGUCUCUCCUUGGGGCGUGGCUUACCUGCUGGAGGCGCUGCAGGGAGGCGUAAAGGUGUGAAGGGUCCUUCUGCUCGCCCCCCUCUGCUACCGCCGCUGUGAUCACGUCCCGCCCCACCUGUGACGCACCUCAAUGUUACUGCAGGCAGGAGUUGGUGAAGUCCGGCCUGAGGUUUUGUGUCAUGGCUAGCAGGUCUACCUUCACCUGGCGUCCCCGCAGUACCAGCACCAUCUCCGCGUCCUCGUCCACCUGUCGCAGCUCCUUCGUGGUGUGCUCGAUGGCCGCCUCCAGCUGGUUAGUCCUGCACCUGCUUCGCCUCCUUCAGUAGCUGCGUCUUGUGAGUGUCCAUGGCCUGAAGGUGGGCGGUGGCGGAGGCCCUCUUGCCGGCGGCGUCAUCCUGCUCCUCCAGCAACUCCUGACGGCGACGACGAUGGCGCAGGAAGAGUCGCCAGGUCCUGAUGCCUCCUGCCAGCCCCUCAGGCAUGGACUCCUCCACAGACCUGCUUGUUGCUCCUGUAGGCGUUCCUGGCGGGUCCUUGCUCUCCCCUCCUCCCGCCGCGUGUUGAACUCCUCCGUCGUUGCCUGCUGCACCUUCUCCUCCACCUGUGAAGAGAGGAACUACGUGAUUUCUGGGAGUUCAAGCUGCAGGACGAGUGUGGUGAGGUGUGCUCGUCUCUGCCGCACCUCCUCCUCCUGCGCCGCCCGCCACUCACGCCAAGCCCGCGCUUCAGCCCACGUCCACUCCCGCCGUGACCGCUGCGCCUGGGAAACAACAGAGAGCGGCACCACAAACAUUAGAACGAAGAGCGUGGGCGUCAUCCUUGCUACCCUGCUUCCCCGUACCUGGCCGCGCCCCUGAGAGGAACUCCACAAUGUCCCCCUCUGACGGCGACGCGAGGCCCUGAGACUGAGAGGGCGGCAGGGAAGGGCGCGGCACUGCUGACGAAGGCGAGGGUUGAUACUCCUCCUCCCAAGGCUCCUCCGACGUGAUCUGCAGAGAGCUUAUCUUGGAGUGUCGCCAGCCGCCGUGGGUUGAGCGUAAACUCCGUCACGGGCAGCUGCUGGGUUCGGUCCAGGGCGCUGUUCUCCCCUAGCAGCACCUCCAGCUGUAGGGAGCACGGAGCACUGGCUGGGAUGACAUGGGCUUUCAAGGGGGACGCGGGCUCUCAAUAAAGGGAGUUUAAGGGAUGUCAGGGGUGAAAUUUAAAGUAUAAUAUGAGUUUUUAAGGGUGUUGUGCGGUUUUAAGGGUGUAUUUCAUGUUUUCAAGGGUGAGAGUUAAGAGUAUUGUGAGUUUUAAGGGUGAUGUGAGUGUUUAAGAGUGUUUUUAAGGGUUUCAAGGCUGGAAGUUAAUAAUAUUGUGGGUUUUUAAAGAUGAUAUGGGGUUUUAAAAGCGUUUUAAGGGUUUUUAAGGGACGGAGUGAAAUUAUGACGGGGGUUUUCAAGAGUGAUGCGAGUUUUUAAGGGU